AUGAACGCUAGCUACAGGCUUAACACAUGCAAGUCGAGGGGCAGCAUGGUCUUAGCUUGCUAAGGCCGAUGGCGACCGGCGCACGGGUGAGUAACACGUAUCCAACCUGCCGUCUACUCUUGGACAGCCUUCUGAAAGGAAGAUUAAUACAAGAUGGCAUCAUGAGUCCGCAUGUUCACAUGAUUAAAGGUAUUCCGGUAGACGAUGGGGAUGCGUUCCAUUAGAUAGUAGGCGGGGUAACGGCCCACCUAGUCUUCGAUGGAUAGGGGUUCUGAGAGGAAGGUCCCCCACAUUGGAACUGAGACACGGUCCAAACUCCUACGGGAGGCAGCAGUGAGGAAUAUUGGUCAAUGGGCGAGAGCCUGAACCAGCCAAGUAGCGUGAAGGAUGACUGCCCUAUGGGUUGUAAACUUCUUUUAUAAAGGAAUAAAGUCGGGUAUGGAUACCCGUUUGCAUGUACUUUAUGAAUAAGGAUCGGCUAACUCCGUGCCAGCAGCCGCGGUAAUACGGAGGAUCCGAGCGUUAUCCGGAUUUAUUGGGUUUAAAGGGAGCGUAGAUGGAUGUUUAAGUCAGUUGUGAAAGUUUGCGGCUCAACCGUAAAAUUGCAGUUGAUACUGGAUAUCUUGAGUGCAGUUGAGGCAGGCGGAAUUCGUGGUGUAGCGGUGAAAUGCUUAGAUAUCACGAAGAACUCCGAUUGCGAAGGCAGCCUGCUAAGCUGCAACUGACAUUGAGGCUCGAAAGUGUGGGUAUCAAACAGGAUUAGAUACCCUGGUAGUCCACACGGUAAACGAUGAAUACUCGCUGUUUGCGAUAUACAGCAAGCGGCCAAGCGAAAGCGUUAAGUAUUCCACCUGGGGAGUACGCCGGCAACGGUGAAACUCAAAGGAAUUGACGGGGGCCCGCACAAGCAGUGGAGUAUGUGGUUUAAUUCGAAGCAACGCGAAGAACCUUACCAAGUCUUGACAUCCUUCUGACAGAGUAUGUAAUGUACUUUCCCUUCGGGGCAGGAGUGACAGGUGGUGCAUGGUUGUCGUCAGCUCGUGCCGUGAGGUGUCGGCUUAAGUGCCAUAACGAGCGCAACCCUUGUUGUCAGUUACUAACAGGAUUUGCUGAGGACUCUGACAAGACUGCCAUCGUAAGAUGUGAGGAAGGUGGGGAUGACGUCAAAUCAGCACGGCCCUUACGUCCGGGGCUACACACGUGUUACAAUGGGGGGUACAGAGGGCCGCUACCACGCGAGUGGAUGCCAAUCCCCAAAACCUCUCUCAGUUCGGACUGGAGUCUGCAACCCGACUCCACGAAGCUGGAUUCGCUAGUAAUCGCGCAUCAGCCACGGCGCGGUGAAUACGUUCCCGGGCCUUGUACACACCGCCCGUCAAGCCAUGGGAGCCGGGGGUACCUGAAGUGCGUAACCGCGAGGAGCGCCCUAGGGUAAAACUGGUGACUGGGGCU
rnacentral:rRNA from 1 species